UACGUAGGGUGCGAGCGUUGUCCGGAAUUAUUGGGCGUAAAGAGCUCGUAGGCAGUUUGUCGCGUCGACUGUGAAAACCCGAGGCUUAACCUCGGGCCUGCAGUCGAUACGGGCAGACUAGAGUUCGGUAGGGGAGACUGGAAUUCCUGGUGUAGCGGUGAAAUGCGCAGAUAUCAGGAGGAACACCGGUGGCGAAGGCGGGUCUCUGGGCCGAUACUGACGCUGAGGAGCGAAAGCGUGGGGAGCGAACAGG
rnacentral:rRNA from 1 species